GAUGAACGCUGGCGGCGUGCCUAAUACAUGCAAGUCGAGCGAACAGACGAGGAGCUUGCUCCUCUGACGUUAGCGGCGGACGGGUGAGUAACACGUGGAUAACCUACCUAUAAGACUGGGAUAACUUCGGGAAACCGGAGCUAAUACCGGAUAAUAUAUUGAACCGCAUGGUUCAAUAGUGAAAGACGGUUUUGCUGUCACUUAUAGAUGGAUCCGCGCCGCAUUAGCUAGUUGGUAAGCUAACGGCUUACCAAGGCAACGAUGCGUAGCCGACCUGAGAGGGUGAUCGGCCACACUGGAACUGAGACACGGUCCAGACUCCUAAGGGAGGCAGCAGUAGGGAAUCUUCCGCAAUGGGCGAAAGCCUGACGGAGCAACGCCGCGUGAGUGAUGAAGGUCUUCGGAUCGUAAAACUCUGUUAUUAGGGAAGAACAAAUGUGUAAGUAACUAUGCACGUCUUGACGGUACCUAAUCAGAAAGCCACGGCUAACUACGUG
rnacentral:rRNA from 1 species